GACGAACGCUGGCGGCGUGCUUAACACAUGCAAGUCGAACGGAAAGGCCCUGCUUGCAGGGUACUCGAGUGGCGAACGGGUGAGUAACACGUGGGUGAUCUGCCCUGCACUUCGGGAUAAGCCUGGGAAACUGGGUCUAAUACCGGAUAGGAGCCAUUUUUAGUGUGAUGGUUGGAAAGUUUUUUCGGUGUAGGAUGAGCUCGCGGCCUAUCAGCUUGUUGGUGGGGUAAUGGCCUACCAAGGCGGCGACGGGUAGCCGGCCUGAGAGGGUGGACGGCCACAUUGGGACUGAGAUACGGCCCAGACUCCUACGGGAGGCAGCAGUGGGGAAUAUUGCACAAUGGGCGCAAGCAUGAUGCAGCGACGCCGCGUGGGGGAUGACGGCCUUCGGGUUGUAAACUCCUUUCGCUAGGGACGAAGCUUUUGUGACGGUACCUAGAUAAGAAGCACCGGCUAACUACGU
rnacentral:rRNA from 1 species